UACGUAGGCCGCAAACGUUGUUCGGAAUUACUGGGCGUAAAGAGUGUGUAGGCGGCUUCGCAAGUUUGGUGUGAAAUCUCCCGGCUUAACUGGGAGGGUGCGCCGAAUACUGCAAGGCUUGAGUACUGGAGAGGAUAGCGGAAUUCCUGGUGUAGCGGUGAAAUGCGUAGAUAUCAGGAGGAACACCGGCGGUGUAGACGGCUAUCUGGACAGUAACUGACGCUGAGACACGAAAGCGUGGGGAGCAAACAGG
rnacentral:rRNA from 1 species